GUAACGGCGAGUGAAGCGGCAACAGCUCAAAUUUGAAAGCUGGCCCCCCCGGGGGUCCGCGUUGUAAUUUGUAGAGGAUGAUUCGGCGAGGGCUCCCGCCUAAGUCCCCUGGAACGGGGCGUCAUAGAGGGUGAGAAUCCCGUAUGCGGUGGGCUGCCUUAGCCAUGUGAAUCUCCUUCGACGAGUCGAGUUGUUUGGGAAUGCAGCUCUAAAUGGGAGGUAAAUUUCUUCUAAAGCUAAAUACCGGCCAGAGACCGAUAGCGCACAAGUAGAGUGAUCGAAAGAUGAAAAGCACUUUGGAAAGAGAGUUAAAAAGUACGUGAAAUUGUUGAAAGGGAAGCGCUUGCAGCCAGACUUGUCCGCAGUUGCUCAGCCGGUCUCCUGACCGGCGCACUCUUCUGCGGCCAGGCCAGCAUCAGUUCGGGCGGUCGGAUAAAGGCCCCGGGAACGUAGCUCCUCUCGGGGAGUGUUAUAGCCCGGGGUGGAAUGCGGCCAGCCUGGACUGAGGAUCUCGCUUCGGCUAGGAUGCUGGCGUAAUGGCUGUAAGCGGCCCGUCUUGAAACACGGACCAAGGAGUCUAACAUCUAUGCGAGUGUUUGGGUGUCAAACCCAUGCGCGUAAUGAAAGUGAACGGAGGUGGGAACCCUCGCGGGUGCACCAUCGACCGAUCCUGAUGUCUUCGGAUGGAUUUGAGUAAGAGCAUAGCUGUUGGGACCCGAAAGAUGGUGAACUAUGCCUGAAUAGGGUGAAGCCAGAGGAAACUCUGGUGGAGGCUCGCAGCGGUUCUGACGUGCAAAUCGAUCGUCAAAUUUGGGUAUAGGGGCGAAAGACUAAUCGAACCAUCGACUACUAGGUGGUUAAGAGGUGGCUGAAAGUGCCCACCUAGUCCCCCCGUCCGAGGACGGGGGGGCGACAUCGCCAAAUUGCGGGGACUCCCUUAGAGCCUCUACUACCGCGGCCGGCCGAAAGGCGCGGUGCAGCACCGGGUUAAUUGCCUAGGGUACGGUAAAAAGGUAGAGGAUUGGGAAAUCCGCAGCCAAGCGCCUAAGUCCCGCGGGAUACGGCGAAGGUUCAGAGACUAGAUGGCGGGUGGGUCCGGCCCGAGGGCCGGGCCUAAGGUAUAGUCCACCCCCCGCGGAGACGC
rnacentral:sRNA from 1 species